rnacentral:rRNA from 1 species
UCGGGAAUCUUGCACAAUGGGCGAAAGCCUGAUGCAGCGACGCCGCGUGAGCGAAGAAGGCCUUCGGGUCGUAAAGCUCUGUUGUCUGCGACGAAGGGCCUGGUCAGGAAAUGGGCCAGGCGUGACGGUAGCAGACGAGGAAGCCCCGGCCAACUACGUGCCAGCAGCCGCGGUAAUACGUAGGGGGCGAGCGUUGUCCGGAAUUACUGGGCGUAAAGGGCGUGUAGGCGGCCUGUCAAGUCAGGGGUGAAAGCCCGGGGCUCAACUCCGGGUGUGCCUUUGAGACUGAUGGGCUUGAGUGCUCCAGAGGGCAGUGGAAUUCCCGGUGUAGCGGUGAAAUGCGUAGAGAUCGGGAGGAACACCAGUGGCGAAAGCGGCUGCCUGGGGAGCGACUGACGCUGAGGCGCGAAAGCUGGGGGAGCAAACA